GCCUUAAUAGCUUAAAUUAAAGCACUGGUCUUGUAAACCAGAGCUGUGGAAUAAAACCCUCUUAAGGCU
rnacentral:tRNA from 1 species